UUUGUUGUGAAGGUGUAAGUGUCGCUACAGCCAGGUGGAAACCGUGGAAACGCAAAACAAAGUAGAAAAAUUAUUUCACCAGAAGUGAAUACAAGCUCGUGGAUUAUUCCUUCCUUUUGAUUGCCGAACGAAUUAAUUGACUUGGAGUGGAUGUUAUAGCCAGUCAGGAAAAUCAGUUUUGUCUGUAGCUCUCAUCGUCUAACGUUGCUACAGAGGUAAUUCAGCACGCAGAAACAAUUUAUUUGCAAGGAAAUUCAGCAUGCAGAAUCAAUGGAUCUGCUGGAACGUUACGUUAGAAAUGACACCAAAUGUUCCGCAGUCAGAUCAGCGAAAAUUUCACCACUAAUUAUAAAUAAAUAAUUUGAGAGUUGUUCACUAUUAUA